UACGAAGGGGGCUAGCGUUGUUCGGAAUUACUGGGCGUAAAGCGUGCGCAGGCGGUUAUAUAAGACAGAUGUGAAAUCCCCGGGCUCAACCUGGGAACUGCAUUUGUGACUGUAUAGCUAGAGUACGGCAGAGGGGGAUGGAAUUCCGCGUGUAGCAGUGAAAUGCGUAGAUAUGCGGAGGAACACCGAUGGCGAAGGCAAUCCCCUGGGCCUGUACUGACGCUCAUGCACGAAAGCGUGGGGAGCAAACAGG
rnacentral:rRNA from 1 species